rnacentral:tRNA from 1 species
UGGAGCAGUGGUAGAAUGCGAGCCUUCUAACCGUGAAACGCGAGUUUGAUCCU